rnacentral:rRNA from 1 species
ACUCCUACGGGAGGCAGCAGUGGGGAAUAUUGCACAAUGGGGGAAACCCUAAUGCAGCCAUGCCGCGUGUGUGAAGAAGGCCUUCGGGUUGUAAAGCACUUUCAGCGAUGAGGAAAGGUCAGUAGCUAAUAUCUGCUGGCUGUGACGUUACUCGCAGAAGAAGCACCGGCUAACUCCGUGCCAGCAGCCGCGGUAAU